rnacentral:rRNA from 1 species
UACGUAGGCAGCAAGCGUUGUUCGGAGUUACUGGGCGUAAAGGGUGUGUAGGCGGUCUUCUAAGUCUGGUGUGAAAUCUCCCGGCUCAACUGGGAGGGUGCGCCGAAAACUGGAAGGCUAGAGUUCGGUAGGGGAGACUGGAAUUCCUGGUGUAGCGGUGAAAUGCGCAGAUAUCAGGAAGAACACCAAUGGCGAAAGCAGCUCUCUGGGACGGUACUGACGCUGAGACGCGAAAGCGUGGGGAGCGAACAGG